rnacentral:rRNA from 1 species
CAGGCUUAACACAUGCAAGUCGAGGGGCAUCAGGAAGAAAGCUUGCUUUCUUUGCUGGCGACCGGCGCACGGGUGAGUAACACGUAUCCAACCUGCCCUUUACUCGGGGAUAGCCUUUCGAAAGAAAGAUUAAUACCCGAUGGCAUAAUGAUUCCGCAUGGUUUCGUUAUUAAAGGAUUCCGGUAAAGGAUGGGGAUGCGUUCCAUUAGGUUGUUGGUGAGGUAACGGCUCACCAAGCCUUCGAUGGAUAGGGGUUCUGAGAGGAAGGUCCCCCACAUUGGAACUGAGACACGGUCCAAACUCCUACGGGAGGCAGCAGUGAGGAAUAUUGGUCAAUGGGCGCUAGCCUGAACCAGCCAAGUAGCGUGAAGGAUGAAGGCUCUAUGGGUCGUAAACUUCUUUUAUAUAAGAAUAAAGUGCAGUAUGUAUACUGUUUUGUAUGUAUUAUAUGAAUAAGGAUCGGCUAACUCCGUGCCAGCAGCCGCGGUAAUACGGAGGAUCCGAGCGUUAUCCGGAUUUAUUGGGUUUAAAGGGAGCGUAGGUGGACUGGUAAGUCAGUUGUGAAAGUUUGCGGCUCAACCGUAAAAUUGCAGUUGAUACUGUCAGUCUUGAGUACAGUAGAAGUGGGCGGAAUUCGUGGUGUAGCGGUGAAAUGCUUAGAUAUCACGAAGAACUCCGAUUGCGAAGGCAGCUCACUGGACUGCAACUGACACUGAUGCUCGAAAGUGUGGGUAUCAAACAGGAUUAGAUACCCUGGUAGUCCACACAGUAAACGAUGAAUACUCGCUGUUUGCGAUAUACAGUAAGCGGCCAAGCGAAAGCAUUAAGUAUUCCACCUGGGGAGUACGCCGGCAACGGUGAAACUCAAAGGAAUUGACGGGGGCCCGCACAAGCGGAGGAACAUGUGGUUUAAUUCGAUGAUACGCGAGGAACCUUACCCGGGCUUAAAUUGCAGUGGAAUGAUGUGGAAACAUGUCAGUGAGCAAUCACCGCUGUGAAGGUGCUGCAUGGUUGUCGUCAGCUCGUGCCGUGAGGUGCCGGCUUAAGUGCCAUAACGAGCGCAACCCUUAUCUUUAGUUACUAACAGGUUAUGCUGAGGACUCUAGAGAGACUGCCGUCGUAAGAUGUGAGGAAGGUGGGGAUGACGUCAAAUCAGCACGGCCCUUACGUCCGGGGCUACACACGUGUUACAAUGGGGGGUACAGAAGGCAGCUAGCGGGUGACCGUAUGCUAAUCCCAAAAGCCUCUCUCAGUUCGGAUCGAAGUCUGCAACCCGACUUCGUGAAGCUGGAUUCGCUAGUAAUCGCGCAUCAGCCACGGCGCGGUGAAUACGUUCCCGGGCCUUGUACACACCGCCCGUCAAGCCAUGGGAGCCGGGGGUACCUGAAGUACGUAACCGCAAGGAUCGUCCUAGGGUAAAACUGGUGACUGGGGCUAAGUCGUA